UUUAGUAUUACCUUUUUAAACCUAUCAGUCAGCUUUCAAGCCAUUUAAUGUAUGCCAUAUUAAUCUUUAUAAUCCAAACAUCCUUCAGUACUAAGUCAAAUACCCUACAGAAUUCUAUUACAUCAGCACUAUUACCAUUUAUCAACCAAACUUGUAAUCUCAUAAAAAAAAAAAGACAGGAUCUAUUUUCCAUAAAUCUAUGUUUAUUUUCAUUAAUUAUAUUACUCUCCUUUCAGACUAUUAUACAAAUAUUGGAUCAGCCACACCAUUAUCUUGCUCUGAAUCAAUGUCAGACUGACAGGCCUAUCAUUACCCAGUCAUCUCCUUUAUCCUUUUAAAAUAUUGGCACAUGAGCUUUCUUGCAGUCUUCUGGAACUUCCCUGGUGUUCCAUGUCUUAUUGAAAUUUAGUCCUUAUAGAAUAAACCAUUGCUUGGAGAAAAGGGAUGUCUUUAAAUAACGAACAGACUAUCAGAUGUGAGGGAGUCUAAAAAUCUUCAUCUAUUAGAUUAGAACUGCAAAAAAUUGUUUCAUACACAAGAGUUCUGAUUUUUGCUUUUUCUAGAAUUUCCAAACGCGAAACAACAAAAAGUAAAAAUACAGUUGGCUGGUUUUGUUUGACCAAAAAUGCUUACAGUUUCACAUUCCAUAAAGAAAAAAAUUCUCUAGAACUGACCUUUGUAGAUAUAUUGCUGCAAGAAGAAUAACCCAUCUCAACUGAGCUUUUAUUUGGCUUUACUGGGCCUUUGGAAGUUUUAACAAGACAAGGCAGAAAGAAGGUCUAUUCUACUGACCCCCUUGCCUCCUCCAGUCAUGCCAGCAUGUUUUUAACAAAGUUUGCAAGAGAAAAAUAAAAUAUUAUGGAUCUCUGAUUCACUUGAUGGUAGAAGAGCAAUUCAAAACCACUCAUUUCUGUAGUGGUUUCAUACCAUUAAAACAAUGUGGAUCAAAUAAUGGAUACUAAAAUAAAAAACAUGUUAUAUUUUUAAACAAAAUUGCAUUAUGGAAGGUAACCAACUAAAAUGAAGAGCAUAGUGUGUCACGGAAAUAAAAGGGGAUUGUGUCUAUGAAUAAUGCAUGAUAAAUUAUAUGCAGCGCAAGGGAGUAGAGGUGGAGAUUUGCAAUUAGCUGAUUUACUUUUAAUCUCAGGCCCACCACCCAUAUGGACUCUUUUAGUCUAGCAGCAAAGAGAUAACAGAGGAAAAGGAAAUGCAGAAGAGAGGAUGAUGCAGAAAUCAUUGAGCAGCACUGAUGGUGCCCUUUCCUGUACAAACUAUUGAAUAAAUUAGUAUGCAAAUAAAUUUAGGACAACUGUGGAAGCCCACAGGCUAGAUUACAUCUGACAUUAAAAUAAUCUAACAUUUUUGGAUCAAUAGCAGAGGGUGAAAUCAGGAGAAAAGAGAAGACAAAGCUGUGCUAGUCAUGUCACUCUUGGGACAUACUACUGCUUAGUAGCAGAAAUAGCCAAUACAAUUAAAUCCUUAAAGCAUACAGUCAAAUGGGAAUUACACAAUAUAAAUAAACAACAAAAACUAUGUAAUUAGAACUUUUUUCCCAACUGUUCUAAAGGCUCUUAAAUUCACUGUGUCUUCAUCAUCUAAGUCCGACUUUAGAACAUUUUCUGAAAAACCCACACACUAACUGAUGAUUCAUAAAUAAAAAAGUAUGUUUUUCUGUGAAAAAAAAUUACCCUCACUUAACCAGGGAUAGCAACAACACAGCCACCAUUAGCAAUGCACAUUUCAGGCUUAAUUAUGCAAGCCUUAAACUUUAGGGGUGAGUUCUCUCUCACACAAGUAGUUCCACUGACUUUAAAUGGGACUCAUGUUGAGUAAGGACCAUUCUCAUGAAAUGGUUUGCAAAGUCAGGCUCUUAAUAGGCAACAGCUUGUUCUUUUUACUUGGGAAGAUCACUAACAGCUGUAGUUUUCAGAGUUUGCUUCUCCAUAGCCAUCAUUAUUUAAUACCUAUCAUACACGUCAGAAGUCUUCAACGGUAUUCCUAUUUCUGCUUGUCCCAGAAAUUUCAUUUUUUGUCAUGAGGUUCCAUAUUACUGCCCUACAAAAAGUAGAUUUACCAUUCAAUUCUACUGGGGUGAAAUCCAUUCUUCAAAACAAUCAAUAUGAAAUGCUCUAGUCCAGUCCUUUCAGCAGACCACAAAUCCCUAUUGUCUCUAAUGGAUUAUCCAUAGAUGGCCUUAGCUGUAAGCUAAGAAUUUUAUGAUCUCCUAUUUGUUUUUAAUCAGCUUCCAUGAAACUUGUGAAGAAUUAAUAUAUUCCAAUCAUUGAUAAUUAAAAUAUCCACUAAAGAUUCUGCUGCUUCACUAUUAUUUAUUCUUUUGCCCUCAUUUGACCAUUUUAAAUCAAUUUUCAGUGAAAACUACUGGUUCUUUGAUUUCCUAUACAAACAGCUUUAAUUACUUCAUGGUAACCAAACCUGUGCCAGUCAUUCCUGGAAGAACACAAUAUUUAGUAAUUGUCUCUCACAGCAUUUGGAGGCUUUUUUUUUUUUUUUCAAGUGAUGCUUGUCUUGUUUCUGCUCCCUACCACACAACCACAACUGCAGAGCAACUGAGUCAUUGAGGCUAAUUUGAGUCUCUGAAGGAAAAAAUCUGAAAACAGUUUUUUUCCAAAUCAAAUCCCUUAAAGCAAUAAUUAUCUGGUUACCCCAUUACAGAAAAGAUACUGCUCAAAAUAGUCAUUGGUUUCACAAAAGCACCAGACCAGAACACUGACUGACUUGCCUAGAAUUUUUAAUUUAUCUUUUUUCAGCAGAUGAAUUCCUUCCUACUGCUCAGUAUUUUGGAGUUUAUUUGCAAUGUAGGCCAUGAUGAUGAUAUUUUAAUCCAAUUUGUUUAUCUCUAUAAAAUAUGCCUAGACCAACAUUUUAUUUGCCUCAUAAAACAUGUAUUGUAAAUAAUUUUGGAGGAAUCAUAAACAACUGCAAGAAUGUUAAAAUGCUUUAGGAGCAAUUAUCAGGCACUCAUGUUUAUCAGUUUAGAAGGGUAAAUUCUCAGCAUAAAGUAGCUAUAAUCUGCCAUAAAACUAUAGUACAUUUGACCUUUUAUCACCUAAGAAAAAAGCAACACAGUCACAUGCUGUCACAAAAACUCUCAUAUGGACACAAGCUUCCUUGCAAGGCCAGCUCAGAGAAUAAAACAGAGUAUGAUACAGGCAUGACAGAAUAAUCCUGUUCAAGAUUGUCAGUCAAAAAAAAAAAUCAAUGUAAUCUUUGGUUUCUUUGGCCAUUAGUCUCCUAAAUAGCAACUGUCAUUUUUCAUAACUAUUUUACUAUUUUAAAUUGGUCUUAAACUGGCUCUAGAAGGGUAAGCUCUGCCUCCCAAUUAACACCAGUUGCAGGUUCAGGGCUUAUAUCAGGGCUGAUAUAGAGGAAGAAAGGGAAAGGGGGAAUGCAAGUAGUCAAGAAGACUAACCAAUAAGCCUAGGUAUAUUGGUUAAUGAUAUGCUUGACUACUCGUUUACAUCCCUACUAGUUAACCAUCUCUUAGGGAGGUGAAUUAAUUACUGCAAAAGGGGAGCCACUCCCAUUGCUGAGGUGAGUGUUUACAUUGAAAUACUACAGUGGCACAACUACUGCAGCUGUAGCAUUUUCAGGGUAGACACAGCCUUAGGCAGAUCUAUUGUUACCAUCACCAGCCCCCUAACAGACACACCUAAUGGGGGUGGAAUUGCCUCUCAAAAAAAUUCUACAAGAGGACUGAGCAGUCUUAAGAAGUCGUCCAGCCACUGAACAAUGGCUCUGGCCUAGGGAAGAGCAAGGCAGAAGGAAACUUGUCAAAUGACAGCGUACAAAACCUUAUUUAAGGGCUGGAUCUAUUCCAAUCUCCCCCUCUCAAUAGCUGCCAUCACCUGCCAAGGAAGACUGUAGAAAACAGAGGAAAAAACCUGCUUCACACAUUGACCGGGCCUAAAUACUCACAAGAAGGGGUGAGUACACACUCAGGUGUUCAUUUAUCAAGAAAAGGUGCAAAAAACGGAAACAGUGAUGAUGGUGGAAGUGGUCACAGCAAAACAAGAUACCAGGAAAUGAAAUGCAGUAUCUGACAAAGAAACCACAAUUUUCAAUGUUUCUGCGGUGCUGAACAGUGUUCUUUUGACUUCCAUUUAGUUUUUUAAAAUGGCAGCAUGAGCACAACUUUGUGCAUACAGUUAGUUGCCUGUGUAUUUUCUCAGAUUCUUAUACAAAUGUUUUACUAAACAACUUCUUGUCUAAUAUUGUAGUAUCUCUGUUGCUAUAUUCCAAAACUGCUUCUGAAUAUCUCUUAAAACAAAUCUGUUCUAAACUAUUAACUAUCUUACUACAGGAAAACGAAGUAAAGUUUUCUUCUGUGUACAUGCAAAAUUACAAUUCAGUGUAAUUUGAUAGUUCACAUAGAAACAAAGCUACAUGUAACAUUUACAAAUCCUACACAGCCGAUUUUAAAUUGUGUGUAGUGGCAUUUGCAAAGGACAAUGGAAACAGAGCCGCAGGGAGAAAAUACUCUGUGAACAAAAAGUCUAUUCGGGAGUGGAGAAAGGAAGAAGCAGAGUCAUUCUUGUCUUCCCUUCAGUAAAAAAAACUGUAUUACAUGCGGACGCGUACAGGGGAAGGGGCGGGGUAUGUAAAACUUCGCAUAACCCACGGGUUUUAUUCUUUAAAGUACGGUACAUCAGUGUAGAGUAUUAACACUUUGCUUUUCUUCUUCUGAGAGGAAAGGCAUGGGGGAAAAGAGCAGCGAUAGUCUUUACUCAGUACAUUGGAUUUACACUUUUCUUCCUACCACAUAUAUUCACUUAAUACAGCCAAUAAUGCAAAGACCAUGACAGUGCUGCUCUGAUUUAAAAUUUUAUUGUGCUUAGAGUGAAAUUUAGCAAAGCUUGAAACCUAAGUGGUAGAGUAGAGGGGUUGACAAUAAGUCUUUAAAGAGCCUGAUUCAUCUCCAUUAAAAUCAAAUAACACUUGUAGCCAUAAAUAUUCAGCAACCUGCUUCUCCUUCUAGCUCCUCCUUUACUUCUCUUUUGUACUGCAGACCUGGCUAAGUCCUUCUUGCCCCCAGUCAGUAGUCUGUAAUUACAUACAAAAUUUGGGCCCCACAUUCAGUACUGCCAACCUCAGUAAAUCAGAAUUUGUGAAUCAGACCACCCAAAAGACAAGACUUUGUAGUUAUACAGUGUUUUUUUUAUUUGCCUUUGAUUUAACUCUCCCAGACCAUUGCCCCUCAGUCAACUUUCCCUCAAAUUUAUUGGGUAGGGUAAUAUUUGGCCUUUGUUGCAAGUGUUCCAAUCCCUGUCCCCACCUCUCUUCACACAAUCCCCUCCCUUCAGCUGUCCCCAUCAGUUCAGGCUUCAGCCUCAUUUCUGCUCCUCCUGCAGUUUUUACUCCCCUUUUCUAGGCUGGGGAGAGGUAAGGGUGAAAAAGGGUGGUGUCCCCUUCUCUUCGUCUUUUGCUCCUUCCCAGGUUGGGUAUUGCAGGAAGAGAGGGGGAGGAGCAGAUGAGACACAAGUUGCUCCAGAAGGAGAGCCAAGAGCUGUCAAGAGCUGCUCCUUCCACCUCCUCCUCCCCACCUCUGAGAAUGUGUUUUUAUUUUCACUCUAUAAUUUGUCAAGUUACAAGAAAACCCCAAAUAUUUAGCUUUUACAAAGUCUCCUGAUUGGAAGGGGAGAGGUGGUCUGAUUUUUUUGACCAUUAUUUUAUGCUAUCUACUUUCUUAUUAUCUACUAUCUUAUUUUGCUAGUACAUUUAAACCAAACUAUUCAAUUUAAGUUUUUACUUUAGUUAGUGCAAGAAAAUCUGAAAGUGAACCUAACAGGGCACUGGAAUGUUUAGUUUGCAUACACUGCAUGGGACUGCAUAUGGUGCAUUUGUUUAAAGCACCUACUCCAUUUUAUUUGUUGUUUUUUAAAAAGCAAUACUGAAUGCUUAAGGGCCUUCGGUGAGGAACCAGAAAGCCUUUGACAAGGUCUAUUGCCACAGGUUCUUAAGUAAAGAGUCAUGUAAUAAGAGGGAAGGUCCUCUCAUGGAUCAGUAACUGGUUAAAAUACAGGAAACAUAAGGUAGGAAUAAACGGUCAGCUUUCAUAGUGGAGUGGGUAAAUAGCAGGUAUAUGUACUGUGACCCAUGCGUUCAACAUAUUUCCUUCAAUGAUAUGGAGAAAGGUGUAGACAAUGAGUUCCCAAAGAGAGCUAAAAGACUAAGUUAAUCAAUAGGCAGCAGGCUUAAAACUAACAUCAGGAAAUACCUGUUCACACAAUGCAUAGUCAACUUGUGGAAUGUAUCGCCAGGGGAUGUUGUGAACAUUAAAAGUAUAAAUUAGUUCAAAAAAGCAUUAGGUAAGUCCAUGGGUGACAGGUCCAUCCAUGGCUAUUAGCCAAGCCGGUGAGGAAUUUAAUCCCAAUACUCUGGGUGUCCCUAAACCUCUGACUACUACGAGCUGGGAUUGGAUAACAGGGCAUAGAUCAUUCAGUAAAUUGUCCUGUUAUGUUGCCUCUGAAGCACCUGGCACCAGUCUCUAUUAGAAGAAGGCAAGAGUGAAAUUAUGUGCCGGAACAUACCAGUAUGCUGGGAUCUUGGGCCAGGUGGGUGGGCAGCAGCUCUGGUUCCCAAGAAUGGGCCAGAACCUCAGUGGAAAGGGCAGGGUUAUAGGAUCAGACUCCCUCCAGCCAGUUCUUCAUGGCUGCUGCAGCCAUCAGGAACCCCCGGCUCUUUUAAAUUCCUGAGGACCCAGGCAGUGAUGUUUAAUUGCUGCCAUGGCAGCACUUUUGGCCAUGUACAAGCCAGUACUGGGGACUGCUUCUUACCGGUACAUUGUAUCACUCCACUUAAACCUCUGAAAACAGAACACUGGGCUAGAUGGACCAUUGGUAUUACCCAGUACAGCCAUUCUUAUGAUCUUAAAUAGUUAACAAAUAAGUUGGGCUGAAAACCAACGCUAAGAAAAAAUGACAAGAAUCAAUACACAAUAAGAAACACCAACAACACUUUCUGUGGCUAACAUGGAAGAGGUCCAAUAUGUCACAUUAUUCUUACUGUGCUGCCAGGAUAUAAGUAGAACCAAAGGAAAAAACAUUAAAUCCAGAGUAACAGAAGUCAGAUAUACCCUUGGCAAUUCUAAAGCUGAUAUGGAGAAACAGAAAUCUUCCCUUCCAAACUAAACUUUGACUUUAUAGUGGUAUUAACUUCUCAAUCUCAUAUGGUUCAGAAACUUGGAGACUUAAAACCUUACUAUCAAAACUUCAAGAUCUAAUGAAGUGUUGCCUUAGCCAAAUCCUCAGUAUCAGAUGGCCCAACACACACACACACACACACACACACACACACACACACACACACACACACACGAGGAGGAAGACAUAAUAGAAAUCAGUAGGACAUGAAAUUACAGAAAAACAAACAUUGAUAUGGUUAGAGCAUAGAUGGAGGAAAAACCCAAAUAUAACAAGACAGGCAUUGAACUGGAAUCCUAGGGCAAGAAGUAAAGAACGGGCCAAGAGUAACAUGGAAAUGCACAAUAAAAAUAGAACCAAAAGCUAUCAAAAAGAUGCAAGAAUCUUAUACUGCAGCAAGAGACUGGCAAAGAAAAGAGUGGUGAAGACUACGUUCUGCAUAGAAGAGAGAGGCAUAAGAGAUCUGUAUGUACUAAAUGUUUUUAUUCAACUUUUCAUUUAAGGUUUAGAGCCUAUUUUAAUUAACAUAACCUUUUUCCCUUUGGAAAAUACAAACUAGAAUCUAUCGUAUUACAUGGAGGUCUCUUCCUUGACUUUGAGAUCAGGAGAUGGGUUUAAUCCAUAUGAGAAAAACUCAAAGGAAUAAAGAGCAGAAAUUAUAACUACAGAUGCAAUGACAGGUGGAUAUAAUAGCAUAAGUAUGUUCACUGUAAGAAGGGUCCUACCAAACUCACGGUCAUGAAAACACAUCACAAACCAUAAAGUCUGGUCUCCUUGCAUGAAAACUGGUCUGUUGUGUGCUUUUACUCUAUACUACAUAGAUUUCAUGGGGGAGACCAAUGUUUCUCAAACUGGGGGUCCUGAACCAAAAGGGUCAGGGUUCAUAAGAUUAUUUGGUGGGUCAUGUAUUUCCAUCCUUACUUCUGCAUGGUCUUCAGAGUGGAGUUGGAUGGCUGAAGAGCAGCGGCUAUUGGCUGGGCGCCUAGCUCUAAAGGCAGCACAUGCCCCACCAUAAGAAGCGCAGAAGUAAAGAUGGCAAUAACAUAUCAUGACAUCCACCUUCUGUGCUAUGGCUAGAAGCAGCUCCCCCUUCAGAGCUAGGCUCGCAGACGGCAGCCACUGCUCUUCAACUGCCCAGUGCCAGCACCACCAGUAGCUCAGAAGUAAGGGUAGCAGUUAGGGAUGCUAAAAAUAGUUUAAUAUGGUAACCGUGUAGCCACUAAAAAUCUUACCGGUAACAAAAUUACACAUGCUGCUGAAGCCUCCCCCAAGUGGGACCGCCAGCCCCUUUCAGCCCAGCCCAGGGCAGGACUUUGCUGCACUGUUGCAGGUAAGUCGCCUCACCGGGAGCCAGCUGAGUGUAGCAAAUACCAUUUACCAAUAACCAUUUAACUGAUAAGCUCAUGCUUAUUUGGCUACAAUCUAACAUCCCGAGUAGCAGUACUGCAAUCCCCCCCUCCUUACAAUGACUUUGCAACCCUCCCUAAAUCUUUUUUUUUGGGGGGGAGGGGGAGAGGGGAGGGUCAGGACGCCUAAAAUCACAACACUGUAAAAUUUCAGAUUUAAAUAGGUGAAAUCAUGAAAAUUACUAUUUUUAAAAAUCCCAUGACACUGAAUUUGAGAAAAAUUGAAAUAAUUUGCUAGGGCUCUAACCGUAAAUUAUAAUUAAGUUUUCAUUUUGUUGGAAUCCUCUGUCACGCCAGACAAAAUACAUACAAGUGAUAUGCAUCUGGCUCCUUUUACCUUGCCAUUUCAGUGCACUAUAAAGGUAAGUCACCUCAGGACCCAUAUGUAAAUCUGAAAUGGAACGCAUUCUCAAUCUAGGGACUGCCGAUAAUGAAAGGCAAGACAAUAUCUAAAUAACUGGUACAGGAGAAGAACAAAACAAUGGUGAACAUUUCUCUGUUUAAAAUGUUUUCUUUACACUGACAGCAUAAUUGUACUUAUGUGAAGAACAGGCAUUGCAGCUAAUUCAGAGUACUGGUUAGAGAAAUCCUAUUUAGCAAUAUGGCUGAAAGGGUUGUUUAUAUCUUUGCACUCUUCUGUUUACAUGCUAUCUUAUAUUUAACACAUUUCUACUAAAUAUUUAUAUUUCACCACAAAUAAAGCUAAAAUUUCCACUGGAAUAUUUAGUAAUUACAUUAUUUUUUGUUCCAAUCAGGUCUGAACUAGUUGGCUUUAAAUAUUGAGAUUAAUGGUACAGAACUAAAUAUAGAUGUAAAGUUUAUCUACCCUGAGAACGACCUUGUUAACAGAGCAGGAUCAUGUAUAAAAAAACUAGUCCUGGAUAUCCAAGUCUACAUGGUUGUGUGGAAAUACCAGAAUUACCACUAUUCAUCAGACUGAAUAAAUACAGUAAUAUUUUCUUCCUUAUGACAUAGUGCCAAGACAUGGACUUGUAACCAAUAUCAUGUGAAAGAACUUCUAAACUUCUAUAUCAGGCAUCAUAGCAUACCUAAGGAAGUUGCUCAAGCAUGGAAAAUGUGUGUUUUAAAGAGGCAAAGUAAAUGCUUCUAUAAAACUUCCUUUCUACUAUUACACAACUAAAGAUUAUUAUAAACCAAAAAUAAAGCCUUAAGAAAUCUGAAUGCAUUUUUCUCAGUUUUAAAAUUCACAGUUUUGCUUAUCACUAGUGUGUACAAGCUAGUGGUUUUUAUAAAAAGUUUCCAGUCAGUUUCAUUUUCAGGUGUAUGCACUACUCGGUACUGUGGUGUUUGGACUGAAAAGCCUGCUGGGGAAGUGUUGAGAGUUUUAUUGACAGUUUAAAUUUAUUGAAAAUAUUUCCAUUAGUAUAAAACAUAUUGCAAUAAAAUUUUUACAUUUUUUUUAGAACUAAGCUACUUGAAAAUGGCCCUAGCCUGUUUCCUGUCAAAUACUUUCAUCAUUUAGUUGGUUCUAGGGUUGUCAAGCGAUUAAAAAUGUGUAUUACAAUUAAUCGCAUGCCACUUCCCUGUGAAACGCCAGGCAGCAUUUCAACAAGGCAGCACUGC